rnacentral:lncRNA from 1 species
AAAUUUGAAGUGAAACAGUCUCCAGGAAGCAAAAGAAAAAGUGUCUUCCAACCCACUGAGUUAUUUUCCAGACUUCUUCUAGAAGACCUUUGAUUGAACCUGACAGAAUUGACCUCAAAAUAUGCAGAAUGCUCUCAAAAAUGCUUUGAUCAGCUGAUCUGAAUGACUCAGAGAAGUGUUCCAGGAACUGCACGGGCCAAAAUACCCUUUAAGAAUUCCGAAUCUACCUUAUGAAGCCACCGUCUUAAGAAAAGACAGCAAUUGGAAGGAAUAUUUACAAAAUGAACAGAUUCCUUUUAUUUGUGUGAUAAUCUCCCGGAGAAGCCAAUAG